CCUACGGGAGGCAGCAGUGGGGAAUAUUGGACAAUGGGGGGAACCCUGAUCCAGCGACGCCGCGUGAGUGAAGAAGUAGUUCGGUAUGUAAAGCUCUAUCAGCAGGGAAGAAAGAAAUGACGGUACCUGACUAAGAAGCCCCGGCUAAAUACGUGCCAGCAGCCGCGGUAAUACGGAGGGGGCAAGCGUUAUCCGGAUUUACUGGGUGUAAAGGGAGCGUAGACGGCGAUGCAAGUCUGAAGUGAAAGGCGGGGGCCCAACCCCCGGACUGCUUUGGAAACUGGAUGGCUGGAGUGCAGGAGAGGUAAGUGGAAUUCCUAGUGUAGCGGUGAAAUGCGUAGAUAUUAGGAAGAACACCGGUUGCGAAGGCAGCUUACUGGACUGUAACUGACGUUGAGGCUCGAAAGCGUGGGGAGCAAACAGGAUUAGAUACCCCGGUAGUC
rnacentral:rRNA from 1 species